rnacentral:rRNA from 1 species
UACGUAGGGGGCUAGCGUUGUCCGGAAUUAUUGGGCGUAAAGCGCGUGUAGGCGGCUUUGCAAGUCGGGUGUGAAAGCCCUCGGCUCAACCGAGGAAGUGCGCCCGAAACUGCAAAGCUUGAGUACCGGAGAGGAUGGCGGAAUUCCCCAAGUAGAGGUGAAAUUCGUAGAUAUGGGGAGGAACACCGGUGGCGAAGGCGGCCAUCUGGACGGAUACUGACGCUGAGACGCGAAAGCGUGGGGAGCAAACAGG